rnacentral:rRNA from 1 species
GUGUCAGCAGCCGCGGUAAUACGGGGGGUGCAAGCGUUGUCCGGAAUUAUUGGGCGUAAAGAGCUCGUAGGCGGUCUGUCGCGUCGGCUGUGAAAACCCGGGGCUCAACCCCGGGCCUGCAGUCGAUACGGGCAGACUAGAGUUCGGUAGGGGAGACUGGAAUUCCUGGUGUAGCGGUGAAAUGCGCAGAUAUCAGGAGGAACACCGGUGGCGAAGGCGGGUCUCUGGGCAGUAACUGACGCUGAGGAGCGAAAGCGUGGGUAGCGAACAGGAUUAGAUACCCCGGUAGUCC